rnacentral:rRNA from 1 species
AUAAAAUAAAUAUAAUAAGAGCAUUUGGUGGAUGCCUUGGCGCUAGAAGGCGAUGAAGGACGUAAUACACUGCGAUAAGCUCCGGGGAGUUGUGAAUAGACUUUGAUCCGGAGAUUUCCGAAUGGGAUAACCCACCUGAUUUAUCAGGUAUCAUAUAAUGAAUACAUAGUUAUAUGAGGCAAACUCAGUGAACUGAAAUAUCUAAGUAGCUGAAGGAAAGGACAUCAACAUGAGACUCCGUUAGUAGUGACGAGCGAACGCGGACCAGGCCAGUAGCUUAAGAGUAAAAACUAGAACAACAUGGAAAGGUUGGCAAUAAUAGGUGAUAGCCCUGUAUAGGUAAAAAGCUUUUAAGUUCUUGAGUAGGGCGGGACACGUGAAAUCCUGUCUGAAUAUGGGGGGACCACCCUCCAAGCCUAAGUACUCUCUAGCGACCGAUAGUGAACUAGUACCGUGAGGGAAAGGUGAAAAGAACCCCGAUGAGGGGAGUGAAAUAGACCUGAAACCGAAUGCUUACAAUCAGUAGGAGCAAAAAUUUAUUUUUGUGACUGCGUACCUUUUGUAUAAUGGGUCAGCGACUUAGUUUAUCGAGCGAGCUUAAGCCGUUAGGUGUAGGCGUAGCGAAAGCGAGUCUGAAUAGGGCGAAUAAGUUCGAUGAAUUAGACCCGAAACCGGGUGAUCUAGCCAUGGCCAGGUUGAAGGUAGAGUAAUAUCUACUGAAGGACCGAACCCACUAAUGUUGAAAAAUUAGGGGAUGAGCUGUGGCUAGGGGUGAAAGGCCAAUCAAACUCGGAUAUAGCUGGUUCUCCGCGAAAUCUAUUUAGGUAGAGCGUUAUGUAAUUACCAAUGGAGGUAGAGCACUGAAUGAGCUAGGGGGUCCAACAGACUUACCAAACUCAAUCAAACUCCGAAUGCCAUUGAGUACAGCAUAGCAGACAGACUACGGGUGCUAAGAUCCGUGGUCAAGAGGGAAAGAGCCCAGAUCGCCGUCUAAGGUCCCAAAAUUACAACUAAGUGUUAAAGGAUGUGGAAAGACCAUAACAACUAGGAAGUUGGCUUAGAAGCAGCCAUCUUUUAAAGAAAGCGUAAUAGCUCACUAGUCUAAAUAAGUUUUUCUGCGCCGACAAUGUAACGGGGCUAAAGUUGUAUACCGAAGACGCGAACUUACAUUUAAGAUGUAAGUGGUAGCGGAGCGUUCCGUAAGCCUGUGAAGGCAAUCUGUAAGGAUUGCUGGAGGUAUCGGAAGUGAGAAUGCUGACAUGAGUAGCGACAAAGAAUGUGAAAAACAUUCUCGCCGAAAGUCCAAGGGUUCCUGCGUAAAGCUAAUCUGCGCAGGUUUAGUCGGCCCCUAAGGUGAGGCUGAAAGGCGUAGCCGAUGGGAAUCAGGUUAAUAUUCCUGAACCGGAAAAAGUGACGAAGAUAGUAAAUUGUACAUCCUUAUUGGAUUGGUUUGUGCAGUGAAUAUUUUCCAGGAAAUAACUUUUUCAAUAACGACCGUACUCUAAACCGACACAGGUGGACAGGUAGAGUAUACCAAGGCGCUUGAGAUAACGAUGCUGAAGGAACUAGGCAAAUUGCAUCUGUAACUUCGGGAUAAAGAUGACCUAUGUUUGGGCAACCAGAUGUAGGUGGCACAUACCAGGGGGUAGCGACUGUUUACUAAAAACACAGGGCUCUGCAAAGUCAAUAGACGACGUAUAGGGCCUGACGCCUGCCCAGUGCUGGAAGAUUAAAAGGAGGGGUGCAAGCUCUGAAUUGAAGUCCCAGUGAACGGCGGCCGUAACUAUGACGGUCCUAAGGUAGCGAAAUUCCUUGUCGGGUAAGUUCCGACCCGCACGAAUGGCGUAACGAUUUCCCCGCUGUCUCCAGUAUCGACUCAGCGAAAUUGAAUUCUCAGUUAAGAUGCUGAGUUCC